AUGUAUCACUGUGCGGGUGUCGUGGUAAAGCCCUCAGUGUCUCUGCUCCCUCCGUCCCCUCUGCAGCUGUCUGAGGGAUCGGCCUCGCUGCUCUGCCUGCUGUCUGGCUACUCUCCACAGGGGGCGCUGGUGAGCUGGACAGUGGACGGCUCAGAGGUGAAGAACGGGGUUCUGACCAGCACAGAAGAAGAGAAGAACAGCCGUUACAGCCGCAGCAGCACCCUGACCCUCAGCAAAGACCUCUGGGAAAAGGGGGAGGAGUUCAGCUGUAAGGUCUCCCAUAACAACGUCAAUCAUCCAGUCACGUUCAGAAAGAGUCAGUGUGAAGACUAG